UUGAAAGGGAAACGAUUGAAGUCAGUCGUACCGACGAGAAAUCAGCUUAUCGUGUGUUAACUUGUGGGCGUGCGUGAGUUUCGGCCUCGCUGUUUGCAUGUUUGUGCGCUUUGGGUGUACUUUUUCGUAUGGUUGGCCAACAUCAGUUUCGAUCACUAUAAAAUGACUGGCGGAAUGUAGCUUCGAUUUCGGUUGAAGUGUUAUAGCCUCUGGUAGAUGUGGUGAUUGGGACUGAGGAUUGCAACGAAUAUCCUUCGGGCUAUCCGUCUGGCCUCUGAAAGUUGCUUGGGUGCUGAAAGCUUGCUUAUGGUUAUCUAAGUUAACGGUCAAUAGGUUAGAACGCGAUUACAUUCGUUAAGGAUGUUGACGUA
rnacentral:rRNA from 1 species